UCAACAUGUCCAGAUCAUUUUCCGUAGAAAACCCCGAGAGGGUUGUUUUGUAAAACCUACAAACUGUGAACAUUAUUGAAGCAUUCCAGAAGCCCACGGACAGUUAUGACAAAUUAAAUCAUAGUUAUUUAUGCCCGGGGCAUUCCGAUCAACUUGAAGGUCACAAACAUGUGCAAGAUUGCAGAUCCACGUUGCCUCGUCUGAUGUCAUGUCGUGUGCAGUGAGCAUGAGAAAAACAACCCUGCUUUACCCUAGACUAGAAAAAAGACUGGAGGUCAAAAUGCAGGAUGAUUGAGCAGGGAGUGCUGGCAGAUGGACUAUUGAGGUCAACAAAAAAUUCUGACUUUCACCAGGUGGACACAUGUUCAGGAAGAAAUUCUCACAUCA